GGCCCGUGUCCACAAUGAAUUGUGGACACGGGUCCAGGGCAUAAUUUGCCUAGGAUGGUGGUAUAGUUGGGCUUACCUUUGAAGGCUGGGCUUGUGGUGCUAUCUACUGGCCUGCCCAUUCUAAGUUAUGAGUUCGGUCGUGGAGUUUCUGCGAAGGCGGAGGCUUCUCGACCAUUAGAUCGGAGGGCACCGCGUAGCAGCGACCACCUCUUCCUCUCUGCAGUGGAAGGAUUACGGGCCGGAGCAUCAAAAGUCCACUAACGCCUGAUGGGUUGUCCAAACUGAACCAUCAUCUUU
rnacentral:SRP_RNA from 1 species